rnacentral:rRNA from 1 species
AUUGAACGCUGGCGGCAGGCUUAACACAUGCAAGUCGAGCGGGGUGAUGGUGCUUGCACUAUCACUUAGCGGCGGACGGGUGAGUAAUGCUUAGGAAUCUGCCUAUUAGUGGGGGACAACAUCUCGAAAGGGAUGCUAAUACCGCAUACAUCCUACGGGAGAAAGCAGGGGAUCACUUGUGACCUUGCGCUAAUAGAUGAGCCUAAGUCGGAUUAGCUAGUUGGUGGGGUAAAGGCCUACCAAGGCGACGAUCUGUAGCGGGUCUGAGAGGAUGAUCCGCCACACUGGGACUGAGGCACGGCCCAGACUCCUACGGGAGGCAGCAGUGGGGAAUAUUGGACAAUGGGGGGAACCCUGAUCCAGCCAUGCCGCGUGUGUGAAGAAGGCCUUAUGGUUGUAAAGCACUUUAAGCGAGGAGGAGGCUCUUUUGGUUAAUACCCAAGAUGAGUGGACGUUACUCGCAGAAUAAGCACCGGCUAACUCUGUGCCAGCAGCCGCAGUAA